UUGGGAGGCGGCAGUGGAAUGGACCCAGAACGUGGCAGAGCCCAUGUGCUCUCUCACAGCAUCUUUCAUCGCCAAUACUGGGACAGAUGGGCAUUGUUUUUCAGAGCUGUGCAGAGAAGAACCCUAUGUUGUGACUGAAGAAAAGUCAGUGACUGGGUAGUAAGAGCACGCCAGAAAAUGAAUGAAACACAGAACGUAAUGUUUUUCAGGAAGAAAAAGGGAUGCUUUCAGGAAAAGAAUACAACCAAAAGAAUAACAAGCACACAGGUUAUCACUAGCAAGUCUACUUUAGAAGCUCACAGCACAGUUCACACAGCUCCAAAACCAAUGAGACAGAAUUUCAACGGAAACUGCUGAGACUUCUGAACAUUUGUCUUACAGCCAGAGGAAGAUUUCUGCCAUGAACUGACCAGAGCUGGCUGGGGCUCUGAAGCGGAUCUGAACCUCGGAGAUCUCCAAGGACUAGAAGGUUUUCCAUUAAAAAAAAAAAUAAACACACAAA